rnacentral:rRNA from 1 species
UACGUAGGGGGCUAGCGUUGUCCGGAUUUAUUGGGCGUAAAGAGCGUGUAGGCGGCCAGGUAGGUCUGCUGUGAAAACUCGAGGCUCAACCUCGAGACGUCGGCGGAAACCAUCUGGCUAGAGUCCGGAAGAGGAGAGUGGAAUUCCUGGUGUAGCGGUGAAAUGCGCAGAUAUCAGGAAGAACACCCGUGGCGAAGGCGGCUCUCUGGGACGGUACUGACUCUGAGACGCGAAAGCGUGGGGAGCGAACAGG